CUGUCACUUAAACGUGGAUAAACUUGCUUUACUUUUAAAGUAAGUGCUUCCAUGUUUUAGUGAUGG
rnacentral:pre_miRNA from 13 species